rnacentral:rRNA from 1 species
GAUGAACGCUGGCGGCGUGCCUAAUACAUGCAAGUCGAGCGAACAGAUGAGGAGCUUGCUCCUCUGACGUUAGCGGCGGACGGGUGAGUAACACGUGGAUAACCUACCUAUAAGACUGGGAUAACUUCGGGAAACCGGAGCUAAUACCGGAUAAUAUAUUGAACCGCAUGGUUCAAUAGUGAAAGACGGUUUUGCUGUCACUUAUAGAUGGAUCCGCGCCGCAUUAGCUAGUUGGUAAGGUAACGGCUUACCAAGGCAACGAUGCGUAGCCGACCUGAGAGGGUGAUCGGCAACACUGGAACUGAGACACGGUCCAGACUCCUACGGGAGGCAGCAGUAGGGAAUCUUCCGCAAUGGGCGAAAGCCUGACGGAGCAACGCCGCGUGAGUGAUGAAGGUCUUCGGAUCGUAAAACUCUGUUAUUAGGGAAGAACAAAUGUGUAAGUAACUAUGAACGUCUUGACGGUACCUAAUCAGAAAGCCACGGCUAACUACGUG